AGUGUGUAUGUGUGUGUGUCGAUCCCCAGGUGACCAAACAAGGGGAAACCCUAGUUCUUCCUUAAAUCACCAAAUUGGAAGGGAAAUCCGAGCUUAAAUUCAUGAAUAAACGCGUAUAAACGAUCACCAAGUCAUGGAGAUCACAAGUUUGAUCUCGUCAAGCUAAGUGGAAGCUGGAAAGGAAUGGAUCAAACGGGUCAACUGCGCAAGGAAAGCUCGAACGGACGCAAACUGUGAUGUUCGUCUCAUUUCGGACCCCGAUCAAGGAAGAAUUCAAGAACCGGACACAAAGUUUUGAAGCUUCUGCGCUAAUCUAAUCUUGUUUUAGACAAUGUUUAUUUGUAAACACUAAACUCAAUGUUGUAUGUUUUAACUAGUUAGUUUGUAAACUAAAAUACCAUAACCAUGUAAACUUAGUUUUUAUAACUA